AAUAACAAUAAAAUUAUAAAUCUUAAUUACUUGUGAUCGAUUACAUAAAAAUACUUAUAUAAAGAUAAAAAAAUAAUACGCUGACCAGCAAAGUCUCUGAUAAUAAAUUAUUACAAUAAAAUUAAUACAACAAUACAACCAAAUGCGAGAUGAUACAAUCGAUUUAUUUUACAUCAACCCUUACUGCGACAAGCACACUUGGACAUGCACGUGUCUCUCGAGAGCCAUGCACGUCACUUUACAAAGUCCAUGUAGUAAAAGACGAGUAAUUGAGGGAGAGGCGGUGCUGCUGGGACACGUUAUCUUGUUUGCUUUGCGGAGGCGGUGGCUGCGUGGCUUCUUCCGGGUUGCAAGCUCAGCGAUGGAGAUCGAGGUUGAGUCGGUGGGAGAAAACGGAGAGAGAGAGAGAGAGAGAGAGAGAGAGAGAGAUGGAAGAGGGACGAAGAACAUCAUCGUUCCCUCUUAUCAUCCUUCUCCUCGGAGGCGGUGGCUGCGUGGCUUCUUCCGGGUUGCAAGCUCAGCGAUGGAGAUCGAGGUUGAGUCGGUGGGAGAAAACGGAGAAGAAGAGAGAAGAGAAAGAGAGAUGGAAGAGGGACGAAGAACAUCAUCGUUCCCUCUUAUCAUCCUUCUCCUCGUAGGCGGUGGCUGCGUGGCUUCUUCCGGGUUGCAAGCUCAGCGAUGGAGAUCGAGGUUGAGUCGGUGGGAGAAAACGGAGAGAGAGAGAGAUGGAAGAGGGACGAAGAACAUCAUCGUUCCCUCUUAUCAUCCUUCUCCUCGGAGGCGGUGGCUGCGUGGCUUCUUCCGGGUUGCAAGCUCAGCGAUGGAGAUCGAGGUUGAGUCGGUGGGAGAAAACGGAGAAGAAGAGAGAGAGAGAGAGAGAGAGAGAUGGAAGAGGGACGAAGAACAUCAUCGUUCCCUCUUAUCAUCCUUCUCCUCGAACAGAAAGAGAGCGUAGAAUCCGCCAACUGUGACGGAUCCCGCCAUAACCCAAACCAAAAC
rnacentral:lncRNA from 1 species